AAUGACUUGGUUCCGUUUUCAAUGACUUGGUCUCGUCAGCUCCCUGCGAUCUUUAGCUAACAAACUUCAUAGGUGCUGAUGGGUGACAACGUUUAAAGGGCACCUCUGCUUCAUGAGAGCGUCCGUGUUCGUGUCUCCCCGCUCCCAGCGUUAUGUGUGCUCUGUCCGAACAGGCAGUGUUAAAUCACACGGGAAGCGUACCACUGCUCAAGUGCAUUGUCUCAACUGAGGCGGAUUAUUGUAUUCGGUGAGCACACAUUGUGUAAACUGCACCUUUCGACGUUAGAUGCCCUCAUGCAUUUUCCAGCAGGUAGCAGAGAGCAGUUGGUUGCAAAGGGAAUGUUUGAAAUGUCACCUGGAAACAUGGUCUGCAUAACAGAUUACCUUUUUUUGGCCCAUGGCAUGUCAAUUUCAAGCAGAAGGGAUGAAUGCAUUAUAGAAGAUAGCAAUGAUGCAAAGGAAGAACAUGAUUAUGGUGUGUUGUGAAAUGCUGCUGCACUUGGAUAUGAUGGAUUCUCAAUUGGAUUCUUCUGACACACCCAGAGAAAGAAAAUAGAAUAAUCUUGCACCGUCUGGGCUGGCUUCAAUGUUAAUACCAGUGGAAAACAUUCAUCAAGUGACCAUUAGCAAAAGUAUAAGCUUGUCAAAAUGGGGAUUGAUCUCUGUUUCCUCUAGACAUCUGCUUCAACCACCAUCUGAAUGGCAUUCCAUAGAGUCUAAUCUUCUUUUGUUUGUAAAAAAACCCGACAAAGGCUCACCAACAAUUCUGACAAUAAUUCUGUCUUUAUUUAUUGUGACUUUAAAUCAUCGUAUUUGCAUUUCUCCACUAAUUUGUAAAAAUUGCUAAAUUAUCUGUGAUCUCCUUGGGUUGUCAAAUCUUGUUCUUUCAAGAAUUUUAUUUAUUCUGAAGUUAGUUAUUGCUAAAGGCUUUCAAUACUACUUCAAAAGUCUCUACUCCUUCUCUAACACAUUUGCAAAUUAUGUUAACAGCCAUGUGCCCUAUUAUAUAUACAAGGGACUUUGCUAGUACAGCUCCUGAUGCAGUAUCUAACUUGUAGAUUUUUUUUGUAUCUUAAGAAUUGUUUUCACUAAGUGUCCAAUUGUGUUCUAUUUGACUCAUCUCUGAAAUUAAGUUUUUUAGGCAAUAUAAUUUCUGAUGCUACAUUGUCUUAACGUGAUUUAAUAGCUUCACUGCCUAACUGGCUUUUAAGCUUCAGUUAAUAGUUUUACUGUGCUGCUGUUCUAUAGGUUUUAUCACCUGUAGGCCAAAAUACAGGAUUCUGACCCUCAGGCUAAAAUUGAUGAUUCCCAUCUUUUUGCAGCUUCAGUGGAUGAGUACUAAUGCCUGUGGUCUUUAAUGAUUUCCAUUUCCUGAACUCGUCUACUGAAUGAAUCCCGAUGCUUUUAAUAAAAAGUGUCACUUUAAUCAUGGGUUUACUAAAGAACUCCUGCUAUUUGUGGCUUUAAAAAUGUAUCCCACUCUUUAAUGGUUUUCUUCUGAAUGGUUCUGACAGCUUGUGGCUGUAAUAAUGAUCCUGUUUAUUUCAUGGUAUUUUCCUGAAUGAUUCCCAUUCCCCAUGGUUUAAAUAAAAGCUUGCAGCCUUUGACACAGCUUUAAUGAAGGAUUAUU